UAUUCAUGGGAACAAGUGGGCCGUGGUGGGUUAUGAUGAAACACUCUGUCGAACACUUGUGCCUGCUGAAAGAUCUCCACAGUUGUGUUUUUCAGCCUUUCUGUUUGUAGUGGUUGUUUUGGGUACUGCCAGCUGUCAGAAAUAACGUUUUAAGUUAGGGUUUGAUGUUCUUGAUCUUCUCAGUGGUUCCUAAUUCUUCAGGGUUUUGGUUUGUGUAUUGAGCCCCAUCUCCUGGUGACUCAUGGAGUGGGUAUUAGGUUUAGGGGGCUGGUAAGGGUGGAGCUGAAAGGGGCUGAGGACAUACCUGAGUGGUAAAGUACUUGUUGAGUGCUCAAGGUCCUGGGAGACACCCAGUGCCAGAAGAAAACUGCAGAACCUUCUUACGAGGGUCAUGCCGUAGCUAUAGAUCUGUCCACCAGCAGCAUGGCGAGGCCUUUCCGCAAACUCAAUGCUGCCACACAUUUUUUUUUUUUGAGAUGGGAAUCUCAGCCCUAGGCUGGCCUCAAACUCAUCCUGCUGCUGAGGCUUCUCUGGUCCUCCCACUAGCAUCUCCCAAGUGCUGAGAUUACAGGCAUGCGCCACCACACCCAUCUCCUCUGCAUUCUUUAUGAGGAGGAUACUCAGCUGCUGUUUAUCUUCUCCAGAUAUCUCAAGACCUUGUGAUCUUAAUUUUAGGGUGUCAGUUUGUUAUCAGUGGUUCCUUUUGUUGUGUUGCUUACAUUUCUUUGCAAGGUUCCAGAGCAGAUAAACACAAUUAUAGGUCGUGUACACUGAAGAAUAAUGGGAGAUAAUUGUCAUCCAGGCUUAGUGAAAACCAGGGAUGUUUUAGAUGAUUAAAACAAGAGUGGAAAUUUGAUUUGAUUGUCAAGAGCUGGCCAGGAAAGUUGGCAGUAAAUAUGAGCUCCUAGGCCCAAGAAGCCCUUCAGAGCUCCCUUUUCUUUAAAGAUGACAAAAACUGCCCCAGAUAUGGUCCCCUUGGCACCCUGCCCUGGACUCUUUAUAAGACUGAAGUAGCGGCUUCCCUGGAACUGGAGUUGAAGGAGAUUGUAGGCCAACCUAGGAGUUCCUAGGUGCUAGAAUGGGACCUGGCUCUUAACUCCAGAGCCAUCUUUUCUGUCCCCUAUUUGUCUUUUUGAAUCUCAGCUGCCUCUCUGAGUUUAAAGCCUUUUCAGAAAGUCAGAGAAAGAUAUUAGUGGUAAGGUAGGUGAGGAUUAUCGAUAAUGACACUAGUCUUCCCCAGUUGUCACCACCACUGCCACCACCUCCUCCUCUUCCUCUUUUUCCUCCUCUUUUUCCUUCUUCCUUCUCUUCUUCCUAUUCUUUCUUCCCCCCUUAUCCUUCUCUCCCUCUCUCUCUUUUUUUUUCAAGACAGGGUUUGUCUGUGAAGCCUUGGCUGUCCUAGAACUCACUUUGUAGACCAGGCUGCCUUUGAACUCAGAUCCACCUGCUUCCGACUCCUGAGUGCUGGGAUGAAAGUUGUGUACCAGCACUGCCCAGCUGACACUUGUCUUCGAAAUGGAAGCUUAGUACGAUGGUUUUGGUAGUGCCCAGGGAGGGAUGAGGCAUAAAGAGCAGUUGCUGCCCCUCCGAGCUGCUUUCCCCAUGUGAUGGCAAAUGGAACUGCAGGGAGCAAGAGAAGAAGGUACUGUGAGAAAAGGGACAUUUCCUCCUAGGAAGUUUGUAAGGGGAUACAAACACUUAAGUCCUCUGCCACUUAAAUUGUGAACUUCUCCUUGUGGAAGGUCAAGGAAUUUGUAAGCUGCAGCUGGUCUCAGAAGCCAUCUUGUGUGCUCCCUUGAGCCAUCGGGAAUGAGAAGGAAGACAUCAGCUUGCUGAGUCCCUCUCCUACCUGUAAGAGUUUUACUUUUCCAGAAGUGCUUGAGGUUUCGAGCCUUGUGCCUGCUAAGUGUGGGGCUCCAUUCCUGACACUAAGUCAACUUCUGUCCCGACUAGCCACCUCAUUUCAGUGAGAAAACCAAGGCCUGAGCUUUCUUAGCCUACCUGUAGCUUCUCUUUUAGGGGGAGGGGUCAUGUAGCCUAGGCUGGCCUGGAGUUCACAAUGUAGCUGAGAAUGACAGAGCCCUGAGCCCAGUGCCAAACAAAGUUGUCUGCCACUACACCUGGCAUAGUUUCCCAUAGUUUUCUGGCUAAGGAAUGUUCAUUGUUUGCGCAGUGGUCCUCAACUGGGUAUGUGGUAUGUGCAUUAGAAUCUCUUGCGAAAGUUUUUACAAAUGCGGAUAAUCUGGGUUUUACUGCCGAACACUCAGUAAGUGUCCUACUGCCGAGCCAUACCCCAGCUUCAUACCUAAAUAUUUCAAAUACCUUAAGUGAUUUAGAUCGGCUUUCUUACCCUAGUUGAGAAGUAGGAUAUUCGUACUUUUAACACGUUUAAAUUUUCUUUGAAUGGUUUUAGACUCUGACCUAUUAGAAGUUAAUGAUGCUCUUCACACUUUCUUUCCGGGUGCAGCGCUGGCAACAUUUUAUUUGCAGUACGUUAGAGCAUGUCCUUCCUGACAGGCGUGUUUUCCGGGAUAGAAAAGUAGCCUGAUUAUGCAACCCAUCGAGAGACCACUAGUCCCUGAAGGGUUUUUCAGUUGGUUGUUUACUUUAGGCAGUAAAGAUGUUUAUGAUAUUCUUAUUUACUUCCUUCUUUACUUAAAGCUCUGGGCAUAAUAGCUGUGUAUUGCCUUGUUAUAUUCUGGCAAUGUGGAAAUGUUGCCUGGUUUAUUUUAGGGGAGUAAAUGGUAUCAAAUUUGCAUUCUGUACUGUUCUCCCUGCACCCCCCCCACCCCCCCCC
rnacentral:lncRNA from 1 species